AUUAUUUCAAAUUUUCAAUAUCAUACCUCAAAUUUGUGAUCUUCUCUUUCAUGAUAGAUAGAGAAAUCAUACAGCCCUUCUUCCAAAUUCAAUGGAUACGUCUGAAAAUGAUAAAGGCAUAGCCAAUUCCUCCAAAGAACUUGAUGCUGGGGCUUUGUUUGUGUUGAAAUCAAGAGGUUCAUGGCUGCACUGUGGUUACCACUUGACUACUUCAAUCGUAGCACCAGCACUUCUAAGUCUUCCCUAUGCUUUGUCCUUGCUGGGCUGGUUUGCUGGUGUUGUAUGUCUCACAAUUGGAGCUCUGGUAACAUUCUAUUCCUAUAACCUUCUCUCAUUGGUUCUGGAGCACCAUGCACAGCUAGGGCAUAGACAGCUUAGGUUCAGAGACAUGGCUAAAGAUAUAUUAGGACCCGGAUGGGGCAAAUACUUUGUGGGUCCAAUCCAAUUUGGCGUAUGCUAUGGCGCUGUUAUUGCUUGUGUUCUCCUUGGAGGGCAGAGCCUCAAGUUCAUUUACUUGCUUUCUACUUCUCAUGGAACCAUGGAGCUAUACCAAUUUGUGACUAUUUUUGGCAUCCUGAUGCUAGUCUUAGCUCAGAUUCCAUCAUUUCACUCCCUCAGGCACAUCAACCUUGUUUCUUUAAUCCUUUCCCUUGCUUACAGUGCUUGUGCCAUGGCUGGUUCCAUUUACAUAGGACAUUCAAAGAAUGCACAAGCAAAGGACUAUUCUAUCAAUGAAAGAGGAUGGAAUCGUCUCUUCGGAUCGUUGAAUGCUAUUUCAAUUAUUGCAACCACAUAUGGGAAUGGAAUUAUUCCUGAAAUACAGGCAACCAUAGCAGCUCCAGUCAAGGGAAAAAUGUUCAAAGGCCUACUGGUCUGUUAUGCUGUUGUAGUGACCACAUUUUUCAGUGUAGCAAUCUCUGGAUAUUGGGCAUUUGGGAAUCAGGCCAAGGGAACAGUUUUAAUGAAUUUUAUGCCUGAUGACAAGCCUUUAUUACCCUUUUGGGUUCUCCUGAUGACCAAUGUUUUUACACUCUUGCAAGUAGCAGCUGUAACUGUGGUAAGACUACGCUCAUUGCUUGCUAGAAGUAAGCAUUCAAUAAAGGCAAGCUUUGUUCUGAAAAGCCCUGUGACUAGCAAAUGAUUAGGUCCAGGCUUGUCAAAUCUUUGACUUCUCAUUGCAUCUUUGAUUAUUUGCAUGUAAUAAUGCAUAUGUAUCUCAGGAUGUGUACUAUUUUACUAUUGUUGGUAACUUGUUGCAGGUUUAUUUGCAACCAACAAAUGAAGUGCUUGAACAGAAGCUUGCGGAUGCAAAGAUUGAUCAAUUCUCUAUCAGGAAUAUGGUGCCAAGGUUAAUCUUCCGCUCGUUAUCGGUAGUCAUAGCCACAACUAUUGCUGCCAUGUUUCCUUUCUUUGGAGAUAUUAAUGCAGUGAUUGGAGCAUUUGGAUUCAUACCUUUAGACUUCAUUUUACCAGUGGUCUUCUAUAAUGUGACUUUCAGGCCAUCAAAGCAGGGGCUAAUGUUUUGGGGAAACACAUUGGUUGCCAUAAUCUUUUCAGCGCUAGGAGUUUUGGGUACAAUUUCUUCAAUUAGGCAAAUAGUUGUUGAUGCCAAUACAUACAGUUUGUUUGCUAAUGUGUAAAGACACCAACUGUCUGCUAUAAAUGAUCAAUGGAAUUGGUGGCUCAUAUUAUUGUAAUAUUAUUUUUUGUAAAAAAAAUAUUCUUUCGAAUAUUUAGAAAAAAAA
rnacentral:misc_RNA from 1 species